CAUUAAGAAGCUACAUAGCGUUAACCUUUUAAGUUAAAGAUUGAGAGUGACUAAUCUCUCCUUAAUGA
rnacentral:tRNA from 1 species